rnacentral:rRNA from 1 species
GAGAAUUUUAUAUAAAUUUAUUAGAACAUUAUUUGGUUUUAGAUUUAAUAAAAAUUUAUAUUUAGUUGGGAGGAUGGUUAAAUUAUAAAAACUUUAAUUACUAAUUAAAUCACAAAUAAGUGACAAAGAUUAAAGAAUUAUUUAUAAAUUAUAUAAGAAUUAAUUACCUUAAGGAUAACAGCGUAAUAUUUUUAGAGAGUUCAUAUUGAUAAAAAUGUUGC